rnacentral:misc_RNA from 1 species
GUUACAAAUGCAACCACAGGCUUUGGCCUCUGCCCAUGCCCAGUUUUUGGUAGAUAUAUAUCCAACCUAUUUCUUGGCUGAUCGCCAUACUUUAUGCUUCUUCGAAUCUGGCCACAGUGCAGAUAAUAAUAUGCAACUUGAAGUAGACCAGGGAAAAUAAAAGCAACAUAACAUCCAAGGGAUAGAAAUCUUGCUAUCCAUUUG